rnacentral:rRNA from 1 species
AUGUUUUGUCUUGGAACUGCGGGGAGGGAGGAGGUUUUGGCCCUCUCAAAAGCCAAUAACCCCAAGCUAGUCUUCCUUUGUCAGACUAGACAUGAGGCAACCAAGAUAGAGAAAAUGAAGUGGAGGCUGGGCCUAAAAGGCUUCCACGGUGUCAGUAGUGAUGGAAGAAGCAGAGGGGUUGCUUUGUUCUAGGAUGAAAAUCUCACUGUUACAGUUCUGGAAUCUUGUAGUAGGUUCAUUGACGUUCGAAUACUUGAAGGAGGCUCUGGUAUCUCAUGGAGGGGUAAUUUUGUUUAUGGGGAGCCAAGAGUGGAGAAUCGAUAAUGGAUGUGGGAUCAUCUAUGUCGUCUGCGGGCUGUGUCGCGAGAACCAUGGGUCGUUUGCGGCGACUUCAAUGAAGCACUCUGGCAGCACGAGCAUUUGUCAAGAUCAGCUCGAGCGGAGACACAAAUGUUAGCGUUCAGGGACUGCCUACAAACAUGUGAGCUUGAGGAUCCCGGGUUCUCAGGCCUCCCAUACACAUACGAUAAUGGUCAAGAGGGUUUUCGCAAUGUUCAGGUCCGCCUCGAUCGGACCUGCGUGGAUGAAGCACUAAGGGACAUCUAUCCUGCGGCACGGGUGGUGCACCUGGCCACCUCCUGCUCUGACCAUAGUCCUCUGUUGAUCAACUUGGAAGGAGUGCAAGAACCAAGACAUAGGAUGUCAACUCCACGGUAUAAGAUAAUGUGGGAGAGAGACCUUAAACUUCCCACUAUCAUCUCGGAAGCUUGGGUCAAACACCGGCCAACCGGUAAUUUGGGCUCGGUGGCUAACUCGCUGAAGGAGGUGAUGACUGACUUGAGGCAUUGGAGCAAAAUGAACUUUGGUAAUGUUCCGAAGGACAUUGAAAAAAUUCGUCAGCAGUUGGCUGACCUUCAACUGUCAGGCGCGGACCGAGCACAGAUUCAAUCUAAAAUGAAUCAACUCGAUGAGCUUCUUUAUAGAGAAGAGAUGCUCUGGCUUGAACGGUCUAGAAUUGAAUGGUUGAGAGAAGGAGAACGCAACACUAAAUAUCUACACCGACGAGCGGUUUGGCGGCUCGUCGCAACCAAAUUCAGCGACUGUUGA